rnacentral:rRNA from 1 species
UACGUAGGGGGCGAGCGUUGUCCGGAAUCAUUGGGCGUAAAGCGCGUGUAGGCGGCUUGGUAAGUCUGGUGUGAAACCUUGGGGCUUAACCCCAAGCCUGCACUGGAUACUGCCAAGCUUGAGUCCGGGAGGGGAGAGCGGAAUUCCUAGUGUAGCGGUGAAAUGCGCAGAUAUUAGGAAGAACACCGGUGGCGAAGGCGG